CAUAGCAUAUCUCCAGAAGUCUCGGUCUUCCGUUAUUGCCUCUGUGAGAAUCCGGAAAUUUUUCGUCACACACCUGAGACCUCUUCAGUGACUGUUGCCUUCUUACUCCAUUUCUUUGCUUUCCAAAUAUGAAAUUGUUGAUCUCUUUGCAGUUUUAGACGAUUUUUCUUUAUUUUCAGCUGUGUGUACUAUGUUGAAUCCACAAGAAGCAAAAGUGAGGAAAAUUCCUGUUUUCUUCAUUACUUCAUCAUAUCAAAAGAAUUCAGGAGCAUCGGAUUGUGGAGUUAUUUUAGCCAAAAGAUGUAGCAGAAUUUUGAAAAGACUCUGUUAAACCAAUGACAAUGAUGAUGAUAUAUAAAAAAUAUGGAUAUAAAUUCUUUAAAAUCCAACUAUGCCAAUGCAGUCAGUAAAAGUUUUCUAACAGGGCUGCUGAACAGAAUAAUUUCCCUUCUUGAAAUAUUUGUAGCCGAAGAAAGGGAGUCCGAGAAGGAUUGCAGCAAGGAUGAAUGAGCAAAAAAUGAUUCCGACAAUCUCAAGUGCACUGAAGGUUCUUGAUCCAUCAGCUUCAGUUUUCGGAUCUGCAAUUGAUGAACAAUAAAAUAUACAGCUACAUUUAUA